GUCCGCUUGCAGUAGAAGUUCGGAGUGGACUGCUUGUGGUAGAAGUUCGGAGUAGACUGCUUAUGGUAGAAGUUUGGCUGAAAUUCGGAAGGCGGUCGACCACUGUAGAAACUUGGAUGGAGUUUGGUUACUGUAGAAGUCCUGUUGCUGAAGAAGCUCGGUCAUUGACGAAGUCUGGAGGAAGUUCGGAGUAAAGUUGAUCGUGGCUGGGAGAAGUCUGGAAGAGAUUCGGAGAAUAGUCGAUCGCUGUAGAGAAUUGACUGAAAGUGAAGCUCAGAGAACGUUUGGAGCAGUCUGGUAGAUGAAUGGAGAAGCUCAUGAUUGGAGAAGUCCGAAUGGUAUUAUGGAAGUUCAGACGGUCGGGGGAGUUCAGAAAGACUUCACACAAGGUCGGAAGCCGGAAGAGCCCUGGAAGGGUCGGCCUUUUACGAACUUCGGCUGGAGUUAUUUUAUACCCAACACCAGUCCCCCUACUUUCGAGUUCGGAUUCCAAAUGAAGGAAGUACAAAAAAAUUUUACAGCCGAAGUUGCCUCCCUCGAUUUCUGUACUUGAUCGUUUCUAGAUAUUUU
rnacentral:lncRNA from 1 species